rnacentral:rRNA from 1 species
UGGGGAAUUUUGCGCAAUGGGGGAAACCCUGACGCAGCAACGCCGCGUGGGUGAUGAAGGCCCUCGGGUCGUAAAGCCCUGUCGGGAGGGAAGAAAUGAUUGAGAGCUAAUACCUCUUGGUCUUGACGGUACCUCCGAAGGAAGCACCGGCUAACUCCGUGCCAGCAGCCGCGGUAAUACGGAGGGUGCAAGCGUUGUUCGGAAUUAUUGGGCGUAAAGCGCGUGUAGGCGGUCUUUUAAGUCUGAUGUGAAAGCCCCGGGCUCAACCUGGGAAGUGCAUUGGAAACUGGGAGACUUGAGUACGGGAGAGGAGAGUGGAAUUCCUAGUGUAGGAGUGAAAUCCGUAGAUAUUAGGAGGAACACCGGUGGCGAAGGCGGCUCUCUGGACCGAUACUGACGCUGAGACGCGAAAGCGUGGGUAGCAAACAGGAUUAGAUACCCUGGUAGUCCACGCCGUAAACGAUGAGUACUAGGUGUUGCGGGUAUUGACCCCUGCAGUGCCGUAGCUAACGCAUUAAGUACU